GCGGAGAUGCCGGAGUGGUCAAACGGGACAGGCUUAGGACCUGUUAGCUUAGUGCUUUCCUAGGUUCGAAUCCUAGUCUCCGCA
rnacentral:tRNA from 1 species